CCUACGGGCGGCUGCAGUAGGGAAUUUUGCUCAAUGGUGGAAACCCUUAACCAGCAACGCCGCGUUGAGGAUGAAGGUUUUAGGAUUGUAAAAUCCUUUUGUUAAGGAAGUAUAUGACGGUAAGUAACGAAUAUUCACAGGCCAAUGCCGUGCCAGCAGCCGCGUUAAUACGACGGGGGCACGCGUUAUCCGGAAUCUCUGGGCGUAAAGGGUGCGUAGGCGGAGUAAUAAGUCAGUGGUGAAAUGCUGCAGGUGAAUUACAGAUCAGCAGUUGAAACUGUUAGUCUAGAGUGUGGAAGAGGCAGGUGGAAUUCUUGGUGUAGCGGUGAAAGUCGUAGAGAUCAGGAGGAAUACUAGUGGCGAAGGCGACCUGCUGGGACAUUACUGACGCUGAUGCACGAAAGCGUGGGGAGCAAACAGGAUUAGAUACCCGAGUAGUC
rnacentral:rRNA from 1 species